GAGUGGAGAAUUUUCUCAUCCAAACGAAGAAACAAGAGUCUCCAAGCUCCUUCUUCCUUUAAGUGUUCAAUACAUCAACAUUGCAUCAAGAGUUCUCCAAGAAUUCUCCAAUGGAGAAUGAAAACUAGACUAAAGUUAUGAACUGUAUAGAAAAGUAUGCUAGAAUUCCUGAUGAGUCUAGUUGUUUAUUGUUGCCAAAGAGUCAAAAUGGAGUCAACCAGAGCUCCACAAGCUGCUAUAGAAAUAUCUUGUCAAGUUUCAACCGUAAUCAAUCUGCGGUGCUGCAAUCCAUAGACAGAUUGUAUCCUUCAGCAAGGUCGAAUUUCUUGCUCUAUUAUUGUUCACAAAGUUAAGAACAUUUUGCUUCAAAACCAUGCGUUCAAUCCAACUAAAGUCCUGACAAUCCAUGCAUGGAUUCUACUUUUCUCUGCUUCGACUUUUGGCAAUCUUGUGAUAUAAUCCGGUUUUCAUAGUUACAAUCCACAAGUAGAUUGUAUCUCCUUAUUUGCUCAACUUACGAUACUCACCGCCUUGAAUCCAUUCGUAUAAUCCGCUCCUCUCCCUAUCCAAUUCAUGGACGAAUUGCAUCCGUUCAACCAAUCCAUGGCCGGAUUGCUAAGAGCCUUCAAAUACAACUCUUCGCUUUUUUUUCCUUUGUCCCGCAACUCUGUGCAAUUACACUAGUAACUUUUCAAGCACUUCAAAUUUCCUUCGAACUAUCCAGGAAUCUUCUAUUUAGCUCCAAAAUGAGGCUCGAUCUACAAACCCUGCAAAAACAUAAAGCUAUUACGAGUAAAAUGAAGUAAUUACAAGUUUUCCAUUCUAACCACUCUAUUCUCAAUUACAAGGCAAACUGAGCAAUUGUAACCAUAUGCCCUCACGAAUUGAUCAAAAGAAAGAUGAAAUAAUCCCAAAAAUAAUCACAAAAUAGACACUUAUCAGAACCGAUCAAGGAAUAGCUAUUUCUUAUUUUAUCAUUUGAACCACCCGUAGAGAGUCCGACUCAAUAUGUAAUUGCAUGAAACCUUUAGACAAACACAACUUGACACCAAACACUAAGGCUUUUAUCUCAGCUGCCGGGCUUGAAGCCAAACCAAAGAAAAAAGGAAAUCAAUCUUAAUCAUCUCGAACUAUCCCACCACCACCUCCAAUACCCGGAUUUCCUUUACUACAGCCAUCAGAAUUUAGCUUUACCACCAAACGAGCUGGGGGGGUUUCCACUGAACUCGCAUCACUCGUAGAUGUCUAGAUAAUCUAGAAUUAGAACAAAUGAAGCUUGGCCAAGUUGUAGCAUCAAUAACCAACCACUUGAGCUGAAUAAAAUAUCCCGAGCAUCUUGAAAAGUAAACCUGCAAACUACCCGAACCGAGCUCAGCUCACCUUGGAGGAAGAAAGAUUUCACGCCUUCCGUAAAUUCCAGAAGACAAACAAAGGAAGUACCCAGAAGAAAAAUGCUAGUUGAGCAUUUCAGAGAGGGAGGAUAGCUUUUAUUGGCAACCAAAGGCGGGAGGGCAAUACACUGUCAACUCGGGCUACAACUCCUGAUGAAGCAAAGCAGAAAAAGAAAAACGGGUAAUCCUGAUGGAGCAAGUUCCAGUUAUGCAGAAGGUAGCCCUCAAGUUAUUCAAAUGUGGAACACUCUGUGGAGUUUAAACAUUAAGCACAAGAUCAAGUUCUUCAUUUGGAAAUGCAUUCAAGGAGCUCUGCCAGUGAAGGAAGCUGUGAGGAGGAGAACGGGCCAGGGUGAUCCUACUUGCACAACUUGUGGAACUGCACAGGAAACUGUAGAACACCUCCUGUUGACUUGUCCUCAUUCGACGAACAUUUGGAAAGCAGCUCCUAUUCAGUGGGAUGGGGCAAAGGAUCAACAAGGGAACUUCAAACGAUGGUGGCUAAGGAUUUCAGAAGCAAGGCAUAGACCAGAGGGGUUGGAACAUAUUGGUUUAACUGCUAAUAUCCUGUGGCAGGUGUGGAAAGAAAGAAAUAAGAGGGAAUUCGAGAAAUCAGAUAUAGUUACACCUUUCAAAACAAUAGCAAGAGCACACAAGGAUUGGAUGGAACAGCUGCAGGAAGAGGUCUCGAAAGUUGAAAAGAGCACAGAAGAAACAGUCCCUAGACUAGAUUUGCAAGAUUAGAAUUAUACAAAUGAGGGAGCUGUGAUAAUGGAGAUAGAAACAACAAAGAAAAAAGGACAGCAUAAGGUUGGGAUAGGAAUCACAGUUAAGGAAUAUGCAAGGAAUAGAAUGACAGGGUGGAUAAUGAAUGAGAUCAGUCUGGGAAACAAAGUACUAGAUGAUGCACUAGCUCUGAAGCUGGCCUUGUGCAAUGCUGCGCAUCGAAACUGGAGCAAGGUUAAGCUAAAGUUUUGUAACAAGGAGCUGUGGAGACAAAUCAAACAGCAGAGCCCUGCGGACAUUAAGAUGGCAAUAGUACUGGAAGACAUCUCUAAGUUACAGAGUUUGUUUUGCAUGUGCUCUUUUGACUUGUGUAGACAAGAACAUAUGUUAGUUAGCAAAAAAUUAAGUGAUGAUGCUUUAGGCGUUAUUGUUGAUGAGGAAAGACUGUUUCCUCAGUGUUCUUAGAACACUUCUUGUAUAGCUUCUCUCGAGCCGUUGCUCGUAUAUGUACUCUUUCUCAAUAAAGCAAUGAAAAUCUCCUAUCGUUUUGAAAAAAAAAAAAAAACCACCAUUUAAUUAACCAGUGCCCAAUGCAACCAACCACAUCAUCCUCAGUCCCAAAAAAAAUUCCGGACACAUUGAGCUAACUCACCACUACAAAAUACAUGGUUUACUGAUUCCAAUUGAGGGCUAACACAACACACAAGCAACAUGAAGGGCUAUGAACUCCAAAUUUAACUAGAGAAUCAACCAGCGGUUGAUGACUAAAAAGUAAAUGCAGAAAUUUCUAGUGCUUGAUAGCGACCACACCAUUCUAUUUGAUCAAGUUGAAGAUGGGGCAGCAACACGUAAAAUCUCACUGAUGACACGCUAUGGAAACUACUACUACUACAACAUUUCAAAAUUUCAAUUUCCAUGUCUAACAAAAUCACUAACCUGAUGAUCUACAAAUUCUUGUACUCUUUGGUAUAAUGCAUGCACCUGAUCCUAACUAGCUAUCAAGCCAAAAGUCCACAACAUCAUCAUAUAAAACCCAGCAAAUAUACUCUUCAGCUGCAAUCCGAGAGGUAAGCAUCCUCUUCAAGCUAAGAGAACAAUUUGGUGCAGCUUGUGUGGCGACCCCACUUCCCCCAAAGGCGAACCAGAGGGUUGGCGGGCCGUCUGCCCAGCUCUCGCCAGGACUCAAGCAAGCAAUCUAACCUAAAACCUUUCCAUUAACAACCUAAACUAUUACAAUAGCAAAUCUUCCAAAAUAAACCAAUUGUUAAUCAUCACAUUAACUUCAAAGAUAACAGCAUCCGAAGUUAGCCAAUCGGCGGCUCCUAAACACCUCACGCGUUACAUUCAAGAGGUAAAGUCUUACAGUUUCCAAAACAUAAAAUUUCAUACAGCCCGAAUAUAUAUACACAUACAAGCCAAAUAUUAUAAUCAGGGUUUACACUUUUCCAACUUCAAGUGGCAAUCCCAAAACAAAACUAUAUCGUUUAAUUCAAAUACAUUACAAGCCACAAAACGAAGUAGAUACAUUCUUAAGAAGAUAUAAGUAGCUCAGAUUUCUCAAACCUCAAGACCUGUCAAGGAAAACAAAUAAACGUGGGGUGAGCUAAAGCUCAGUGGUGCCCCAAAACAUGCAAUCAAAUAAACAAAUAGCAAGUAUUGAAUUCGAUUAACGUAAGCAAAUAGGAAAGCGAAUAACAACACAAGGUAGGAUACAGGGGCUCUCAGGAGCCAUUUUCCUCGCUUGAUCAUCAUUCAUCGUGGUUGACCCUCCGUCAACUCUCACUACUUAUAGUCCAUGUAGAUCCUCUUAUUUUUACUCCUAACCCGUCACCGUUCUUACCCCUGUCCCGGGCCCGAACGCCAACUAAGGAAGCAGUAUACUCGAGAUAUACCCUUAGACAAUUUAGUCGAGGGAUUCACCCAACGACGUUACUGCAGUUGGAUUCAGGAGUCGAGGGAUUCACCCAACGACGCAACUACAUUUAAAUUCGAGGAUUCACGAGUCGAGGGAUUCACCCAACGACGUUACCGUAGUUGGAUUCAGGAGUCGAGGGAUUCACCCAACGACGCAACUACAUUUAAAUUCACGGAAAAAAAAAAUGUUUCACGCAAGUUAUCACUCGAACAGCUAGUGCGCUAAAGUACACACUGCUCACUUCGAUGGAUCAAAACUAGUUUUGCGAGUAUCACAUUUCAAGUCAAGAAAGCACUUUAAUCAAGUAGGAAUAGAACAAGCAGGGACACUCACCAAGAGUGAAGUUACUGAUCAAGCUGGGAAUCAAAAUCUGCGUCCUCGCUAAACCC
rnacentral:lncRNA from 1 species